ACAAUUUCCCAUACAAAAUCUUUUCAAAAGUUCCCGUAUAAACUAUUCUUAUGUUGCUUCUGUCGGUGCAUCUAGUCUAGGGCUUCAACACACACAAAAAAAAUUCUUCACCAAUUUCUCGAAAACAAACAGGGAUAGCCGAUGUUGAGCGCAAGAUGUCAAAGAUUUGAUUUAGGAUUUCUUCUUAAAUAUACAUACGGUUUAUUUAGGAUGCCUUUUUUGGUGGUUUGAUCUCUUUCCUGAGUUUCAAACUCUGUAGCCUUGAAUGAACGACCCUGAAUCCCACGCAAGCUGUCAACACAUUACUGUACUUGGAUUCCGAGGUGUUUCUAUCCUUGGUGUCGUCAAGAGCUUAGUUUCUGGAGUGAUCAAGGUCAUCACGGUGGUUGUGUGUUACUAAUAUUGAACACUUAGUUUUGAAGUUGUGUUCAUGAUCUCAGAGAUGAUUGUAAAUUCAGAUUCUUGGCCAUCUCUACUGCUGCACACUUCUUGGCCAUCCUUGACCCUUUACUUGUUGUGAAUCACAAAUGAGCAAUGAUAUCAUAAGAGUUUUUGUGAUUUGUGCAAGCUAACAUGAAUUUUAAUAAAAGAUGCAUCCUUAUUUUUGUGCCAUAUUAACAGAUGCUGUAAGAGAUGGAAGUAAAAUAAGAUUUUCCACGAGAGUGUGGGGCAAUGGUAAUAAUGUCAAUUGUCAAGGACGAUUUUCCUUGCUUGUUUUCAUUAGCUAGUGGAAUGAUUGGAACUUCUCAUUAUUUAAAAAUUUGGUGUUGUUUGUCUUAUAUUCAUCUUAAAAUUCAUUCAUCAGAAAAUUUCACGAAGAAUUGUACUACUAUGGCUAGCUCUUACAAAAAUCUAUGUUAUGUAUGCUUGAUAUGUCAUGUAAACCAAUACUAAUAAGGAUUCUUAGUUCAAUUACAAGAUUUUUGUCAGAUAGUGAGCUUUUAAA